rnacentral:rRNA from 1 species
UGGGGAAUAUUGGGCAAUGGGCGAAAGCCUGACCCAGCAACGCCGCGUGAUUGAAGAAGGCCUUCGGGUUGUAAAGCUCUGUCCUAUGGGACGAAAAAAAUGACGGUACCAUAGGAGGAAGCCCCGGCUAACUACGUGCCAGCAGCCGCGGUAAUACGUAGGGGGCGAGCGUUGUCCGGAAUUACUGGGCGUAAAGGGUGCGCAGGCGGUUUUUUAAGUCAGAUGUGAAAUACCCAGGCUUAACUUGGGGGGUGCAUCGGAUACUGGAGGACAUGAGUGCAGGAGAGGAAAG